AGUGAACGCUGGCGGUAGGCCUAACACAUGCAAGUCGAACGGCAGCACAGUAAGAGCUUGCUCUUACGGGUGGCGAGUGGCGGACGGGUGAGGAAUACAUCGGAAUCUACUUUUUCGUGGGGGAUAACGUAGGGAAACUUACGCUAAUACCGCAUACGACCUACGGGUGAAAGCAGGGGAUCUUCGGACCUUGCGCGAUUGAAUGAGCCGAUGUCGGAUUAGCUAGUUGGCGGGGUAAAGGCCCACCAAGGCGACGAUCCGUAGCUGGUCUGAGAGGAUGAUCAGCCACACUGGAACUGAGACACGGUCCAGACUCCUACGGGAGGCAGCAGUGGGGAAUAUUGGGCAAUGGGCGCAAGCCUGAUCCAGCCAUACCGCGUGGGUGAAGAAGGCCUUCGGGUUGUAUAGCCCUUUUGUUGGGAAAGAAAAGCAGCAGGUUAAUACCCCGCUGUUCUGACGGUACCCAAAGAAUAAGCACCGGCUAACUUCGU
rnacentral:rRNA from 1 species